UCAUGCUUUAUUGCUUGCCCUUGGCCUGUGCAGCUUAUUCAGACAGGCAGAAGUGCCCUGUGCAGAGCACGAGCAAAGUGUUGGAUUUAAAUCCCUUUAGGCACGCCCUAUUAAUGCUCUUGUGUAUCACACUGUGAGCAGAUUCAUUCAUUCUCUAACAUUUGCUGAGCCCUAUCUAUGUCCUGGCCAUGGUGCUCAGCGCUGGGUACAGAAGGGGGAACAGAUGACACCCUGACUCCCGAAGCUCUGGAUUUGAUUUCGUAGCAUGAGGCAGACAAGCACAGCAACAAGAUCACAGCCAUCAACAGCUGCCUCAGAUGCCAGCUGUGCACACUGGAGACACAGAAUGAGAGAGACUCCUGGACAAACUGAGACCUGACAGGUGAACCAAGGUCCUGGUGGAGCAACUAUGUCUGAUGGAUGCAAACUUGCUACCUACAAAUCACGGAGCUAAGCAUCAACCUGAGUGGCUAAUGAUCAUCUUAAUUAACCCACAAGACUUUAUGCAUGGCUGGUAUUCAUCCAACCUUUUGAUCCUAGACAGGAAUCUAUUAAAGACCGUUGAGAGAAUGAAAAGACAAAAUCCAACUUCCAUAAGCAGAAUUGUUAAGAGGAAAGACAGAAGAAUGAUCUUUGAUCAGAGAGGCGAAUGCCAACACAGCAGCUUCUUACUCUAUUUAUUAGCUUGGGAUCUUUGCCAGAAGAUUUUUCUCUGUCAACCAUUUCCAGACUUGUAGGUUGUCAUUGCUAAGACUGGAAUGACAGAAGCCUCAGCCAUGAACCUGAAAUGGGAUGCAAAGAUAUUUUUUCCCCUCCCCUUCAGCAUGUUCCUCAGCAUCUGAUCAGGCAACACCCAGAAUGUGGUCCUGAAACAUCUAAAAAAGGCCUGGAUUCAGCUUCUCUUGAAUUCCAAAGGCCUGAUACGCCUGUGAUUUUUUUCCUUGGUGCCAAGUCAGCUCUGCUUAUCGACUGCUAUUUUAAUGAAACCUCCUGGUACCAGCUCAGGAAGGAUAUUUUUAUUAGAUACGACUGGGCGGAUUCUCAUGUUGAAAGCAUUUGGUGUAAAACAUGAACACAUUCAGUCCUCAGAUAUCCUUCCAAAUAUUUCCUUUGAAAUCGGAAAAUUACCAAGGAACUUGUGAUAAAAGAUGAAAAAAGGAAUUAAAAGGGUAAAAAAAAAAAGCCCACAAAGAUGACGUGCUUUGCUUCCUCUCUACACUUCUACAUGGGUGGGGCUAUGGAUAUCAGCAUUUGGAGAAAAGGAGACACCUGGAACUCAGCAAUCCCAGCCUUGCCUGUACACAUGGAGACCUAGAACCGGGGCUGGUUGCGCUCUUGAUGUCUCUUCUCCCAUGUCUUCUUCUAACUUCCCAUUAGGGCUGAAGUCAUGUGAUACAAAACCUCCUGUUCUCAGGAUGACCUUGGCCUUGAAUUUCUAAUCUUCUUGCCUCCACUUCCCAAGUAUUGGGAAUAUGGGCAUCAGCUACCUCUCCUGGCACAAAAAGGUAUUUUAUAUGAUGGCAUUUUAAUUAUAGCUCUCACUCAACUCUACUUGCAGCUUAAACAAACAAAUGAACAAAUGAACACAGAAUGUUUCUUGAUGCUGGGUAUUGAAGCAAAGUCCUCAUAGACGCUAAUUUCAUGUUCAACUAUUAAAUUAUGCCCGUUUUCCCUCAUCAUUUACUGUUACUCCCCAUUGUCAAUGCAUUCAAACAUCACAUGAAACAUGCUCAUUAUUUUAUUUUGUGCUUUGAUCCUGUCAAGAAUAGUAUUAUCAUACUUCUACAAAAGGUCAUAAUCCUCAGGCUCAAAGCAUGAUCUGCUUGUCUCUUUCCCUCUGGCUAAGUUACUAUGAUGCCACUCAUGUUCUCUGUCUUCUCUCUUGUCUACAGGAACUGGGAAUGAAAAGCUUGAAGGAAUAUAACAUGACAUACAGCUGCCAGUGGGUGGAAUGUGCACAGAGGAAGCUCUAAGGGGAACUCUAGCACAUGCACGUCUCCGUGAUGCAUGCGGUGCCUGCAUCCAGGCUAUGCGCUACCAGAUGGUGAUCCACGCUUCUGUUGCCUGGCCCUUAAAAUCACAGCUACCUUUUGGCCAAUCCUGGAGGAAGUGAACUGCCAUUAAAGGUCACUCCCAGGAUAUCUCCUUCACAUCCUCCGAAUUAACCUCUCAAUAGUAGACUGAGGCUGUGAUUUUUUUUUAAAGCCAGGACUGCUUUCUGGCUACGGUUUUAGCCACGUGUCUAUCAAUCUCAAAGGGGUUUUGCUGUCUUCAUGGCAAACAAAGACCUAGUCAGCCUUGCCACUUACUUUGUGAUGCUUUGUGCAAAAGAAGGCCAUCUUUGAGGCUUCUCAAGAUUUCUCCCAGGACUCCUAAGAAUCCUUUUGCAAAGGAUACCUGCAAACCUUCCUGGACAUGCAAGGAGUCAAGUGAUGCGUAUGCAAAUGAGACUCCCUUGUGACUCUGAAUCACUAUACCACUGAGGAGCUUUUCUUCACAGUAAUCAACAUCUCAUCUUAAUUGCUUUUGUUUAUGUUCAAUAAGUGCAUCAUUUUGGCAACACCAGCUCACAGCAAUAUCUUAAAUUACCCAAGGCUGCCCACUUUCAUUUAUGGACUCUGCCUUGUGUCUGAUGAGCACUUAGAUUUUUUAACUAUUUAUUUCCUCUGCCUGACAGGGAAUGAAGAAUAUACAGCUUAUGGGAAAAAUUAAGUAGGAGGAGCAGUGAGGACUAGGGAACCAUAACAGAAGUGUACAGUAUGCAAGGCCAAUACAAAAGCAGUGAGUUUUUAAUAAUCCGAGUGUGCAAUACAUAUGUAUCCCUCAUAAAAUCAAUUGUUGAUUAUUGUCGAAUCUGCUAUUUCUCAGUUUUCCACCUCAUAUAAGACCAGAAAAAAAAUCCUGGAGGAAUUAAGAAAAAUGAAAAUGCUCCAAUAAUGGCAAAUUCAGUUAUGGUUAAAAAAAAUAAAGUUGUCUACUAAGUUGAUGUUUAACACAUAGCCCCUUCCAGGAACUGAGUUGAGGGUGUUGGAUGCACUGAUUACUAGGAGUAUAAUCUGAGAUAAAACUGCAUUUUUUGCCCUUGAUUUGAGUAAUUAUCUUGCUUUAAAAUAAAUUCCAGUUGUCAUUAUGCAGGCAGAGGAAAGUCAGAAAAUGGAGGGCCACUGGGGAAUCUGUGGGCAUCACUGGAGCUGUGCUAUUCAUCAUCUCCAUGAAGCCGCUCAUGUUACUAUAAUAAUCCAUGCCUUGAUUUCCCAGUCUGUCCCCCCUCCGACUGACUACUUACCAUCUUAUUGCCUUUAUCAUUAUGGUACAGGGUUAGGUGGCUGAACCCAGUGUUACCAGGUUCUUGGCCUCUUAUUCAAGAGUGAAGCGGAAGCUCACCCAGAUUGUAAAGCUGUCUGUCUGAGGAAAUUUUAUUUAAAGUUGAGCAAUAGAAAAGAUCAGAAGACACUGCCAGGGAGCAGUGGGGCACCAGAGCGAAGCUACUCAAGAGCUCUCAGGCUUCGCCUCAGGCUUCUUGCUAUAAUGUCUAAAGGAAGAAGGGGUUGGUUACCAAGGGAAUUUAUUUUGGGUCACAUAAUCAUUUUUAUACUUUGCAUAUCCCUUUCUGUAAUGCAUAUUGUAUCAUAUUAUGCCCAAUUCUGUAUAGGCAGUAGGAGGUAAAUAGGGAAGUCUCCUUAAAAGCUCACUUCAAGACACAGUUUUACCUAAUUGAUUAUGAACCCCAAAAGGAUUCAGAAUGCAUUGGUUUCCUAUCUUCCCUACAAGGCACAAGCAGUGUAUGAUUGGGCAGAUUCUAAGUUUGCUAGUUGUUAACCAGAGAAGAAAUGUACUUCACAGAAAUGUAUCUCAUUGUGUGGCUUGGUGCAGGUGGGAGUCUUAGAUUAGCUAAGACUUGGUUCAGAGGGAACGGUGAAAAGCUUAAGGCAAGUGGAGUCUCAGUUUGUUAAAAUGUUUCUUUUGCUUGCCUGUCUCAGUUACAUUUAAUUAUGGGAGAAUAUUAGCUAGCAGUUGGUAAGUAAUAAAAUCACAAGUGUGGUUUCAAACAACUUGCCUUUGUAAUAGAAGUUUCUAUGAUAAAAAAAAAUCUGUGUAAACAUAGCAACUGAAUCCUCUCUUUCAGGGACACAGAGGGAUAAAUCAAGGUAUUCAAUGGGAUUAUGUCUCAUCUGAGGUGGGACCAGGGAAGGAUAUGCACCCAAGCUUCCAAGCUUCUCUGGUAACUGGCAGAAUUUCAUUCCCUGUAGUUUGCUUAUCUGAGGAUUUUAUGUUCUGGCUGAGUGGGAGGCAUUGUUAGUUCCUACACAGUUUCUGGGCAGAGACUGCUUCAGUUCUGUGGGAUGUGGACCUUCUUGCUUUAACCAAUGUGUUCAUUAAGGCAGGUAAAAGAAAGAGAGAGAAUGUUGAGAGGGAAACACACUGGUUCGGGAAUUGUUUAUUUGUUGUUUUUUCUUUUUGUUUCAGCCAAAAGUAGUACAAGCCAUCAACUACCAUGAAACUCUCCCUUCAGUUCACGCUCAGUUUCUUUUGAAGUCUUGGUUGGUUAAUCCAUUUCAUGGGUGUGAGUCAUUGCCAUGCAGGUAGCAUGACGCAUGGCAAUUCUUUCCUUCCUUGUUUCUGAGGCAAAGAACACUGAAUCAAGGCAUCUCCGGGGCCAUGUCUUCUCUGGGGCUGGAGAGAAGGGCUCUUCUUUGCCUCUUCCUGGUUUUCUUGACUCUCCUAACCCUUAACUUGAGGCUGUCACUGCAGCCUCUGCUGCAAAUGCCAAGCAGAAUUUCCCUUGCUUUUGUCUAUGUUUACCCUUCUCCUUAUAUAGACAUAAAUCAUCAAGUUUGGGAUCCACCUAAUCCCAUAUGGUCUCAUUUUAAAAUGACUACAUCGGCAAAGAGUGUUUCCACAUAGAGAAUUUGGGAUAGACGUGGCAUAUUUGUGGACACUGUUCAUCCCACUAUUGCUGUGACUUUUCCCUUUGGCCUUUGCUACCUUACUCUAAAUGAAACAUGCAAACCACACUUUUUAACUCCCCACUGUGAAUGAUAAAGCUUCUUAAAAGGCAGCCAGGGAAGUGGUCCAGAAUCAGCACCUUCAGUAGUCAAAGAACCAGGGCUGAUAUUUGGUGUCCUUUUGCUGCAAGUUCCUCAUCUAUAAAAUGUUAAUAAUAAUGAUGAUGUUACUUAGCAUUUGGUAUUGUUAGAGGACUAAGUGACAUAUGUAGUAUGCAGAAUUAUAAGAACAAUUUCUGGUCCAUAGAAAACACUCCAAAGAGUCAUAAUCCAGCUCUCCUUUUAUCCCCCCCCCCAACUAGCUUAUUAGUUAUUAGUAAAUAUUAUUAGUAAAUGUUGUGUUUAGUGCUUGUUUUUCAAAUUAUACUUAAAGUCAUUGAUUAAUAAUUUUGACUAUACUCACAACCAAUUAUGAAGGUAAAACAGAAACAAAUGUCUAUAAUGGGAUACAUUCAUAUAUUUAUAGUUUAUGAUAAUUAAAUAACAAAUUAAAAUUGAUUGCAAUUAUGUGUUAAAUGAUUUAGAGCAUAGAGGUAUGUGAGAAGUCUUUAUUGCUUAAUAUACUUAUAUAGUGUUUGAAUAAUUCUUUCUUCUAUGAAUAAAUAAGUAACUUCAUAUACUUUUGCUUAUCUAUCUCUAGGUGUUUCAGCUGUGCUAUUUCUCUUUUCCUCCUUGGUCUCUGUAUUUACUUUAUGUGACUUAGUCAUCUUUAUUUUGUUGAGUGACUAACUUUAAGCACAGUAUUUGCAUGGGAAAUCACCUAUUAUCUGUGCACUUUAUUAUCACAACACUCAUGUUACCAUUUCAUAUUUGAGUUCUUAUCCUCAGCAGGAUUGUAUUAUUGACACGUGGCGUGCAUCAGUUCAUUUAAUCUCCGUGACAUGUAUGACAUUUCACUGAUGAGAUAACAGGAGGUACAGAGUGCCAAAGUAAUUUGUGCAAGGCCGCAGAGCUUCUCCAUGGCACAUGUGGUGUUUGAGAAGUUUCUGGCAUCAGAAUUUCUUGUUAGAGCCAGUUCAUUCUGUGGCUUCUUAGUGUCCAUAAACUCAAGGCAGAUUGCCAUACUCUACAUGGAUCCAGUGAUUGACAUAGCUGGGGCAUGGAGGGAAUGAAGGAAGGACAGUCACAUGAGUACAGACACAGAAUAACUAGGAUUGGGGACUGGGGUCUCUCCGAUGAAGAAGCCACAAUAUGACAGGGCGAGACAGUGCAGAGAUCUCUCCCUCUUGUAUUCUUGCUGAGGUCAUCUUAACUCCAGUUUGAUCUCCUUGAUGGGAAGCCCCAUGGAAAAUUACUCAACUCUAUUCUAGGAGUCCAAGGUCACAAUGCCCUGCUAUUUUCUGUUAAAUUGCCUGCCUGUGCAAACCUCCCUCUCUAGCUAACUGCUUAUCUUAAUGUCUGUUAAACUGCUUGCUUGAGCAAAACAUUGCUCUGAAGUUGCAGAGUGAGAAUUCUGGAUGUGGUUUUUGUCUUUAAAAACCCCUUACCCUAAACACCUAGUACUAUCCUUGAGACCAGAAUACCUAGGAGGUGCUGGAAUAAAGACUUUCUACUGGCUAUAAACUGUGUGGUACUCUCUGGUGGAUUCCCCAAAACAACAGCACCUCCGAAGUUCUGUGGGUUUAUUAUAUACCAUAGAAUUGGGGUUUUUGGGCAAAGCUGAACAAGGAGGCAGAAUUUAUGGUGUACAGAGCAUAGAGAAGGAAGGUUUAGCUAAUCACCGUAGGAGAGGUUUCUGUAGGGAGAAGUCUUCAGGCAUAAAUAUCUGAGCAGGGGAAGAGGAGAGAGAAAACUAUGGUAGACAUUUUCUGCCCAUACUGCCAGCUUUCACACUUAGACCAGAGGAAGCAUUGUUACCUCUCUGAGCCUCAGCCAGAGAAGGCUUUGCCAGUCCUAUACCAUUGAGGUAUUGGGGGUCUUGACAUUGCUGCCUGUGUCAACAUCAUAUAUUCACUCAAGACUGUACUUGCUCUCUACACAGAAUCUCGUUGCAUGUGACUAAAGGCACAUAGACUCUGUAUAUCUACUGAGUCACAGAUUUGGUGUCUCUGAAUACAUGCCACCCAAAAGAACAACAGCAAAAAAUCAUUAACGCAAAGAAGUGCUCCCUUUGUUUAUAGCCAACCAGUACUCCUUCCAUGUGUCUAUCCAACUCAGGCCUUUUCAGGCAUUGUGUUUUACCAGGGGCCCCUUUAAUAUUUCUCAUUCAUAGAGAAAAUGAAACCAUGCCUCUGUCUUCCCAUUAAGAAGUUGCAGUGCCUUCUUUACACAGAUCCGAUGACAGAAGUUCUUCUCCUGUCGAAGAGGUUAUUUCUGACACCUCUCGACUUCCUGUCCCCAUUUGGACUGAUUGCUUCCCUGGCACAUGCUUGUCACCCUGAGAUCUUACUUGAUUGCCCUUCUGGGUUUACCUUCCAUUUUCCCUUCACUUUGCUGAACUCCUUUUCUAUUUUCCUUGGAUUUCUUUUUCAUUUGGCUCAAGUAUAUUUUCCGUUUUAUUAUUGUUUUGCAGAAAGCACUCUCGGCUGAAACACGAUGUUCUUAUAUGUAUGCUGGUAAGGUGUAUAAUUGAAAUAUGCUUUCCAUCAAAAAGUAGAAAUUGAUGUGAAUCUGAUUAUUGGCCCAUUGAAGAUAACACCUUUCUGUCUCCCUAAGCUUUGAGGAUUUCCUCACAGGCUGUGCUAUUUUGGACUGUUGCCAGAUGUCAUUGAGCGUUGUUCAUCCUCUAUGACACUUGGAGUGAAUCUGUCAUUCUGCAACAACCGGAGUUUUAUUUCUAAAACAUAAAUCCCCAGGCCCCAUCUUCAUCUAGGGCAGAAUCUCGAUAUUCUUCCACCAUCUCUGAAUGUACUGUUAGUCGACACUGUCCCAUAGAUGAUGCUAGCUAAAACAGGGAUCUGGGUAUUUUUUAUUUAGUCCGUCUUAAUGUGGUGUAGUGUCCCCGUUAGUAAAACUGUCACGCGGACCUAUGCUCAUCUAGGUUUCAAUCCCUUCAGCAGAAGAAUGGCAUGGAAUGUAAAGGAAAGACACCCCUCCGGAGCUCCUGGUUUUCUUAUUGUCACGAGCAAUCUUAUUUGUAAGAACUGGCUUGGGACAUCCACCUGUUGGAAGAAGUUAAUCCGUCAAGCUGCUGCAACUCUGGCAAGGCUCAGUGACCUUCAACAGACCAAGUCACUUGCUGUGACAGAGUGGAGGAAAUGUUUGUCCUUGGCUUCCAUUUUGGCUGAAUCUUUUUGUCAUAUUACCUGUUUCUUGGUCCCUGAAGGUAGAUGUCUGUCCGAAAUAAAGUCAUCUGUUUUAAUUUCUCCGGC
rnacentral:sRNA from 1 species